UACGUAGGUGGCAAGCGUUGUCCGGAAUUAUUGGGCGUAAAGCGCGCGCAGGCGGUCCUUUAAGUCUGAUGUGAAAGCCCUCGGCUCAACCGAGGAGGGUCAUUGGAAACUGGAGGACUUGAGUGCAGAAGAGGAUAGUGGAAUUCCAAGUGUAGCGGUGAAAUGCGUAGAGAUUUGGAGGAACACCAGUGGCGAAGGCGACUUUCUGGUCUGUAACUGACGCUGAGGCGCGAAAGCGUGGGGAGCAAACAGG
rnacentral:rRNA from 1 species